rnacentral:rRNA from 1 species
AUUACCCGUUGAUCCUGCGGGAGAUCGCUGCUAUUGGGAUCCGACUAAGCCAUGCAAGUCUUCUCGUAAGAGAGGCGAAAUGCUCAGUAACACGUCGUUAAUCUGCCCUUAGGUCAGGGAUACCCUCGGAAAACUGAGGUUAAUACCUGAUAACAGAUAGGAUCUGGAAUGACUUAUCUAUGAAACUUGUGCCUAAGGAUGAGACGGCGGCGGAUUAGGCUGUUGGCGGGGUAAUGGCCCACCAAACCAAAGAUCCGUACGGGCCUUGAGAGAGGUAGCCCGGAGAAGGACACUGAGAUACUGGUCCUAGCCCUACGGGGUGCAGCAGGCGCGUAACCUCUACAAUGCACGCAAGUGUGAUAGGGGGAUCCUGAGUGCUUAUGCUUUGCAUAGGCUUUUGCCAAGACUAAAACUCUUGGCGAAUAAGUGGUGGGUAAGACUGGUGCCAGCCGCCGCGGUAACACCAGCGCCACGAGUGGCGAUCACGAUUAUUGGGCCUAAAGCGUCCGUAGCCGGUUUAGCAAAUCUUUUGUGAAAUCGUCAGGCUUAACCUGACGGAUUGCAGAAGACACUACUAAACUAGGGACCGGGAGGGGUCAGAAGUAUUCUGGGGGGACCGGUAAAAUGGUAUAAUCCCCAGAGGACUGCCGAUGGCGAAGGCAUCUGACCAGAACGGAUCCGACGGUGAGGGACGAAAGCUAGGGGAGCGAACCGGAUUAGAUACCCGCGUAGUCCUAGCCGUAAACGCUGCGAGUUAGGUGUUGCAUAAACUACGGGUUUGUGCAGUGUCGAAAAGAAGUUGUUAAACUCGCCGCCUGGGAAGUACGGUCGCAAGACUGAAACUUUAAG